rnacentral:rRNA from 1 species
GAUGAACGCUAGCGGGAGGCUUAAUACAUGCAAGUCGAGCGGCAAGGUCUUCGGACCCUAGAGCGGCGCACGGGUGAGUAACGCGUACGCAAUCUGCCCUUCAGUGAGGAAUAGCCCUGGGAAACUGGGAUUAAUACCUCAUAAUAUUAAUUGUCUGCAUGGAUGAUUAAUUAAAGUUCUGGCGCUGAAGGAUGAGCGUGCGUCUGAUUAGCUAGUUGGUAGGGUAACGGCCUACCAAGGCGACGAUCAGUAGGGGGCGUGAGAGCGUGACCCCCCACACGGGUAC